AUUGAACGCUAGCGGCAGGCCUAACACAUGCAAGUCGAGCGCGCGUCGGACGGGUGAGUAAUGUAUGGGGACUGCCCGAUAGAGGGGGAUAACUCCUGUCAACGGUAUCUAAUACCGCAUACUAUCGGAUAACCCAUAUGGGAUUAUCUAGUAGGUGCGGUAAUGGCUCACCUAGGCGACGAUCCCUAGCUGGUCUGAGAGGAUGAUCAGCCACACGGGGACUGAGACACGGCCCAGACUCCUACGGAGGCAGCAGUGGGGAAUAGUGCACAAUGGGCGAAAGCCUGAUGCAGCCAUGCCGCGUGUAUGAAGAAGGCCCUAGGGUUGUAAAGUACUUUCAGCCGGGAGGCGUUACCGGCAGAAGAAGCACCGGCUAACUCCGUGCCAGCAGCCGCGGUAAUAC
rnacentral:rRNA from 1 species